rnacentral:tRNA from 1 species
GGGGGUAUAGCUCAGUUGGGAGAGCGUCUGGUUCGCAAUCAGAAGGUCAGCGGUUCGACUCCGCUUACCUCCACCA